GAUGAACGCUGGCGGCGUGCCUAAUACAUGCAAGUCGAACGCUGAAGCUUGGUGCUUGCCCCGAGCGGAUGAGUUGCGAACGGGUGAGUAACGCGUAGGUAACCUGCCUCUUAGCGGGGGAUAACUAUUGGAAACGAUAGCUAAUACCGCAUAAAAGUCGACAUCGCAUGAUGUUGACUUGAAAGGUGCAAUUGCAUCACUAAGAGAUGGACCUGCGUUGUAUUAGCUAGUUGGUGAGGUAACGGCUCACCAAGGCGACGAUACAUAGCCGACCUGAGAGGGUGAUCGGCCACACUGGGACUGAGACACGGCCCAGACUCCUACGGGAGGCAGCAGUAGGGAAUCUUCGGCAAUGGGGGCAACCCUGACCGAGCAACGCCGCGUGAGUGAAGAAGGUUUUCGGAUCGUAAAGCUCUGUUGUAAGAGAAGAACGAGUGUGAGAGUGGAAAGUUCACACUGUGACGGUAACUUACCAGAAAGGGACGGCUAACUACGUG
rnacentral:rRNA from 1 species